rnacentral:rRNA from 1 species
CGGACCGGCGCACGGGUGAGUAACGCGUAUGCAACUUGCCUAUCAGAGGGGGAUAACCCGGCGAAAGUCGGACUAAUACCGCAUGAAGCAGGGGCCCCGCAUGGGGAUAUUUGCUAAAGAUUCAUCGCUGAUAGAUAGGCAUGCGUUCCAUUAGGCAGUUGGCGGGGUAACGGCCCACCAAACCGACGAUGGAUAGGGGUUCUGAGAGGAAGGUCCCCCACAUUGGUACUGAGACACGGACCAAACUCCUACGGGAGGCAGCAG